CCCUAUGGGGUGCUGUCGAGGAAGGAUUCCGCCGCAAGCCUGGCGAAACGCUCCCGUCCCCCCGGCGUCAGGACGUAGCCGCCGUUGGGGGUCCUUUCAAGCAAGGCUUCCCUUUCCAGGCGACCGAGGCCGCCGGGGUCCUCGCCUGCCAGGCCUGCCAGGCUUUCGGACCAGCAGGGGCGGUUCUUGUCGAAAAGCAGCAGCAGGCUCGAGUCCUCCAUCCGUUUCUCCCCGCCGCGUGAUAGAUUAGUGGCGAACGACAGGUAAAGGAGGUCGUCGCCGUGGCGCCGUCCCUUUUCUGGUUCCUGCUUUCCAUCGGGGGCAUCGUCGAGACAUCCCUUUGUCUGAGGCAGUGGGGUUGGCUCGACCGCAUCGACCGUAACAUUCCCCCGGCCCUUGCCCCUCUUUUGCCCGAGGGGUACGGCUGGUGGCGGGGGGGC
rnacentral:rRNA from 1 species